UAAUGCUGAUGAUGAUGAUGGCGAUGGUGAUGAUCAUCAUCGUCAUCAUUUUUUACA
rnacentral:pre_miRNA from 1 species